UUCCGGUUGAUCCUGCCGGAGGCCAUUGCUAUCGGAGUCCGAUUUAGCCAUGCUAGUCGAGCGAGGUUAGCCCUCGCGGCGAACAGCUCAGUAACACGUGGCCAAGCUACCCUGCAGAGGGGGACAGCGUCGGGAAACUGACGGGAAUCCCCCAUACCGGUCUCACGCUGGAAUGCCGAGACCGACAAACGCUCCGGCGCUGCAGGAUGCGGCUGCGGCCGAUUAGGUAGUCGGUGGGGUAACGGCCCACCGAGCCGAUAAUUGGUACGGGGUGUGAGAGCACGAGCCCGGAGACGGAAUCUGAGACAAGAUUCCGGGCCCUACGGGGCGCAGCAGGCGCGAAACCUUUACACUGCACGAAGGUGCGAUAAGGGGACUCCGAGUGCGAGGGCAUACAGUCCUCGCUAUUGUGUACCGUAGGGUGGUACACGACCAAGAGCUGGGCAAGACCGGUGCCAGCCGCCGCGGUAAUACCGGCAGCUCGAGUGAUGGCCGAUUUUAUUGGGCCUAAAGCGUCCGUAGCUGGCCCUGCAAGUCCGUCGGGAAAUCCACUCGCCUAACGAGUGGGCGUCCGGCGGAAACUACAGGGCUUGGGACCGGAAGACUUGAGGGGUACGUCUGGGGUAGGAGUGAAAUCCUGUAAUCCUGGACGGACCGCCGAUGGCGAAAGCACCUCAAGACGACGGAUCCGACAGUGAGGGACGAAAGCUAGGGUCUCGAACCGGAUUAGAUACCCGGGUAGUCCUAGCCGUAAACGAUGUUCGCUAGAUGUGGCACAGGCUACGUGCCUGUGCUGUGUCGUAGGGAAGCCGAGAAGCGAACCGCCUGGGAAGUACGUCCGCAAGGAUGAAACUUAAAGGAAUUGGCGGGGGAGCACUACAACCGGAGGAGCCUGCGGUUUAAUUGGAUUCAACGCCGGA
rnacentral:rRNA from 1 species